UACGUAGGGUCCGAGCGUUGUCCGGAAUUAUUGGGCGUAAAGGGCUCGUAGGCGGUUUGUCGCGUCGGGAGUGAAAACACCGGGCUUAACUCGGUGCUUGCUUUCGAUACGGGCAGACUGGAGGUAUGCAGGGGAGAACGGAAUUCCUGGUGUAGCGGUGAAAUGCGCAGAUAUCAGGAGGAACACCGGUGGCGAAGGCGGUUCUCUGGGCAUUACCUGACGCUCAUGCACGAAAGCGUGGGGAGCAAACAGG
rnacentral:rRNA from 1 species